rnacentral:rRNA from 1 species
AGGACGAACGCUGGCGGCGUGCUUAACACAUGCAAGUCGAGCGGAAAGGCCCUUCGGGGUACUCGAGCGGCGAACGGGUGAGUAACACGUGAGUAAUCUGCCCCUAGCUCUGGGAUAGCUCCGGGAAACCGGGAUUAAUACCAGAUACGACCACUUUAGACAUCUGCUGUGGUGAAAGAAUUUCGGCUAGGGAUGAGCUCGCGGCCUAUCAGCUUGUUGGUGAGGUAACGGCUCACCAAGGCGACGACGGGUA